UGCACUCCAGCCUGGAUGACAAAGUGAGACUCUAUCUCAAGAAAAAAAAAAAGAAAAGAAAGAAGUAGAAAGUGAUCAACUUUGUAAAAUACUGCCACUAAAUCCAGUAAGACGAUGAUUGAGAACUAACCAUUGUUGUUUUUAGCAAUACUGAUAUCAAAAAUGACCUGGAUGCCAAUUUCUAUCAAGUUUUAGGGGUGAGCCUGAUUGAAGCAGGUUUAAAACAGAAUGGCAGCAAGAUUAAGUGCUCUUAAAUCAUUUGACAAAACAUUUGUGGACAUAAUUUUUAUCGUGGACUUUUUAGUAGAGUAUCAGCUAUGAUUCAAUCCAUGUAGCAAUAGCUUAUUCUUCAGAAUGAUGUUCUGCAGGAGUAAGAAGUAUGCUAUGAAAAAAAAAAUCAUGUUUAAAUAGAUUUGUGAAAUCUGGGUUGGGAUUCAAACCUUGCUAAAUAUGUUUCUUUUUAGGUGAGUGCUAGGGUUUGAAUGGUUAUGUCCUCCCCAUAUUCCUAUAGUAUUAGUAGAUAGGGCCUUUGGGUAAUUAGGUCAGGAGGCAGAAUUCUCAUGAAUGGGAUUAGUGCCCUUGUAAAAAGGGCCCAAGGGAGAUCACUCAUUUUUUUCUACAUGUGAGGUUAGAGAAGAUCUAUGAGGAAGAGGGCUGUCACCAGACAGUCAAUCUGCUAGUGCCUUCAUCUUAGACUUCUUAGCCCCUAGAACUGUGAGAAAUAAAGUUCUGUUUUUUAUAAGCCACGCAGUCUAUGGCAUCUUGUUAUGCAAGUCUGAACAGACUGAGACAGUGAGCUGCUCAGAAUUCUCAACAUACUAAUCUAUGUUGUGAAUCUUUGGUAGCGAUACCAAAUAUUGUUUGCCCAAUUUAUUGGACCAUGGAAACAUUUUUACUAAGUACCCUUAACCAUAUCCAAGUGUGCCACAGUAAAAGUUUGGUAAAUACUGGCCUAAAUAAAAGUGAAAAAAAAUCAUAUAAUAAACCUUUGGAACAUGUGCAUGAACACAUACCAAAGCAAGGAUGAUAGCAUAUAUUAUGUUGGUACUUGUGUUGCAUUAUUAAAAAAAAAGUAUUUGAAUUUACUAUGAUUGAAAAAGAUUAUCCUAUCAGAGCCCAUUAUGAUGGGCUUUAGCCUACAUUUCAUCAACAAGCUUUUCUUCUUUUGAUCACUGUUGUAGCUACUUGAAUAAUAUUGUUUCCUCAGGAGUAUUUUAUACCUACAAUAGCCAUCAUCAAGCAAAUUAUAAGAGGACUAUUAUGUAAAUGAAAACUCCUUUAUUAUUCUCCCAAGAAAAUAAAAGCUAAUAAUUUUUGUUGUUAUAGUUUUACAAUAAGACAGUAUUUGCAGACAGAAAAAUCAAACUGUGACUAUUAAGAUAAAUGGGAAAUCAUCUUAUAGUCUACUAGGGUUUGGAUGUUUGUCCACUCUAAACCUCAUGCUGAAAUUUGAUCCCCAGUGUUGGAAGUGGGGCCUAAUGAGAAAUGUUAGGGUCAUAGGGGUAGAUCCCUCACAAAUAGUUUAAUGCCCUUUCUCAGGAGUGAGUUCUUUAUUAGUUCCCACAAGAGAUAGUUGUUAAAAAGAGCCUGACACCUCCCCUGUUUCUCUCCCUUGGUUCCUCUCUCGUCAUGUGAUCUCUGUAUACGCUGGUUCCCCUUUGCCUUCUGCCAUGAGUGGAAGCAGUCUGAGGCCCUCACCAGAAGCAGAUGCUGGAGCCAUGAUGCACAGCCUCAGAAGUCAAAAGUCCAUCUGAGACCUGCUUUCAUUGCACUGCCUCGUGAGGAGCUGUAGGAGAAGAUAUCAUAACUAUUCCCCACUUCUAAUUGUUAGAAGCAACAGCUGUCUAUCAAGAACAAUCUGAGGAUUGUGCACAAAUUGAUUUGGUUCUAUCAAGUGCUGGCUUUCGAUUCCAGUCUGACUUCACUACCACAGGAGCUUCUUGCUCAGGCUUCUGUUCCGGCUCCAUUCUCUCCCUGCCAUUAUAAUGCCAUCCACUGCAGCACCAUCUCUUCAAUCACUCUUCAGAAAUGCAAAUUGCUGCCUUCAGAAGGAAGCACACGGGCCUAUGAAUUUUAUAUCAGCAGGGAUUACCAAUGAGUCAUGCUUGAUGUUGUAAAAACUAUUCAGGAACCAAGAAAAGGGGCAGAAUAAGUGAGAGAAUGAACGAGAAUGAAAAAAAGAAUAGAACCAGUCGGCCAGUGACAUUUUCUAGUGAAACACAUAUGGGAUGCAAGAAAAGGACUCAGAAAAGCCUUGGGAGUAAAUAUUGAAAUGAUCUUGAAUGAUUUGGCAGGAGAAGAUGUGUCAGCAGGGCUUACCGUAUAGCUCCGAAGGAUGGUGAUGACGACACCACAGACCAAGAUAGUUUACAAAGGCUUAAUGGAGCUCAGAUAUUUGAGAAAAAAAAAAAAAAGAUUAACCAUAUUCAGCUGAGAAAAGGGAACACAAACACAUCUGGGGAAAGUAAUCUUAAAUAAAGAUACUCAGAUGGAGAAAAACAUGUGUCAAGCCUGGACCUGGAGUAAAAGCAGACAGAAAAAAUUUGAGUUGCAAGGGAUUACAACAGCUCAGAAAGGAAAACAUUCAUGAUCUCAUUCCACCUGAAGCCAGUGCCUCUGUAAUGUGUAGCAGAAUCCUAUGGAGAAGUUGUAAAAACACAAAAUGUUGGCCCCACCCCAAGAGUUUCUGAUUUUGCAGGUCUGGAGAGGGCCUGUGAUACGUACUUCUAACAAGCUCCCAGGCGAUGCUAAUGUUGCUGGUCUAGAAACACACUUUGAGAGCCACUGUUUUACAAUGUAUUCACCCAGCUUAUGCAAUCAACUACUAUCACAGCAAAGUCCAAAGAAUGCUCCUUAUUUGUUUGUUAUACUGGAGUUUGGCUUGGCUAAAUAUUAUUUGAAACUGAAUGGCUGUUGAUUGUGGCUCAGAAACUGUUUUCUUCAUAGCGCUGCAAUUGGAUUUAUUUAUUAGAAUUUGAGCUGAAUGUUGUCGUACAUUUUGGUUACAUUGGUUUCUCAGGAUAUUUUAUAGGUACAUGUUGUCUCUUUCUAAGUGCACUGUCACUUGAGGUGGGCCUGGGCCUUUUGUUCCUGUUUGUCCUUACUCUUCCACGGAGCUAGCAGUCUCCAGCACAGGGGUGAUCAGUUCUUAAUCACUGAAGACUAAUUAAUCUUUCAGUAUACAUGCUAUUUUAGUGAGUAAUUUUUGCCAGAAAUACUAGUGCUGAUGUAAAAUAAGGGUUAGGAUUAGGGAAGGAUUUGGCCUGAAUAAUUCAAUUUAUAUGUAUAAGUCA
rnacentral:lncRNA from 1 species